GCGGGGGUGCCCGAGCCAGGUUAAAGGGGGCGGUUCGAAUCGAGCCCAGACUCAAGGAGGUGGAGAGAUCCGCUGGCGUAGGCCUGCCCGGGUUCGAAUCCCGGCCCCCGCA
rnacentral:tRNA from 1 species